UCACCGGCUCGGGCGGCACCUCCAUGCCGCUUUCGGCGGCGUGAUCGGCAUAGUUCAGCCCGAUGCAGAUGAA
rnacentral:tRNA from 1 species